CCUGGCUCAGGACGAACGCUGGCGGCGUGCUUAACACAUGCAAGUCGAACGAUGAAGCCCAGCUUGCUGGGUGGAUUAGUGGCGAACGGGUGAGUAACACGUGAGUAACCUGCCCUUGACUUCGGGAUAACUCCGGGAAACCGGGGCUAAUACCGGAUAUGAGCUACCUUCGCAUGGGGGUGGUUGGAAAGUUUUUCGGUCAGGGAUGGGCUCGCGGCCUAUCAGCUUGUUGGUGGGGUGAUGGCCUACCAAGGCGACGACGGGUAGCCGGCCUGAGAGGGCGACCGGCCACACUGGGACUGAGACACGGCCCAGACUCCUACGGGAGGCAGCAGUGGGGAAUAUUGCACAAUGGGCGCAAGCCUGAUGCAGCGACGCCGCGUGAGGGAUGAAGGCCUUCGGGUUGUAAACCUCUUUCAGCAGGGAAGAAGCGCAAGUGACGGUACCUGCAGAAGAAGCGCCGGCUAACUACGUGCCAGCAG
rnacentral:rRNA from 1 species